rnacentral:rRNA from 1 species
CUCUGCCUCGGGGCGCAGCAGUCGAGAAUCAUUCACAAUGGGGGAAACCCUGAUGGUGCGACGCCGCGUGGGGGAAUGAAGGUCUUCGGAUUGUAAACCCCUGUCAUGUGGGAGCAAAUUAAAAAGAUAGUACCACAAGAGGAAGAGACGGCUAACUCUGUGCCAGCAGCCGCGGUAAUACAGAGGUCUAAAGCGUUGUUCGGAAUCACUGGGCGUAAAGCGUGCGUAGGCUGUUUCGUAAGUCGUGUGUGAAAGGCGCGGGCUCAACCCGCGGACGGCACAAGA